rnacentral:rRNA from 1 species
GACGAACGCUGGCGGCGUGCCUAAUACAUGCAAGUCGAGCGGACGAUUCGAAAGCUUGCUUUUGAAUCGUUAGCGGCGGACGGGUGAGUAACACGUGGGCAACCUGCCCUGUAGACGGGGAUAACACCGAGAAAUCGGUGCUAAUACCGGAUAACACGAAAUGUCGCAUGACGUUUCGUUGAAAGGCGGCGCAAGCUGCCGCUACAGGAUGGGCCCGCGGCGCAUUAGCUAGUUGGUGAGGUAACGGCUCACCAAGGCGACGAUGCGUAGCCGACCUGAGAGGGUGAUCGGCCACACUGGGACUGAGACACGGCCCAGACUCCUACGGGAGGCAGCAGUAGGGAAUCUUCCGCAAUGGACGAAAGUCUGACGGAGCAACGCCGCGUGAGCGAAGAAGGCCUUCGGGUCGUAAAGCUCUGUUGUUAGGGGAGAACAAGUAACGUAGUAACUGACGUUACUAUGACGGUACCUAACGAGAAAGCCACGGCUAACUACGUG